CCACCCUCCCGCAGCAUCAGAGAGGAGGUGCAACGGAGAGAAGGAAUAAGGGAGUCGUCUGCGGCUCUACAACGGGAUUCCACGCAGCCACAAGCGAACACUCGGCUGAACCUCACCAACCUGCCGCGACCCAGAACGGCGAGCUUCUAGAGAAAGCCCAAUGAGCGCGGUGGAAGAUCGGGCGGGCCGCGUGCGGGGCGCAUAGGCCGCGGGAACCUUCGGGCCCGACGGUCUGAGCGCCGCACUCGGAGGCGCCAGUCCCGGGGAAACGGCUCUGGAACCCAGGGGGUAGCCAGGAGAGCCGGACACCGGGAGAGGGGCCCACAAGACGGAGAGCCAGGAGGAGCACGGGCGCGGAGUGCCCUCCGCGGCACAGCGACACCCCCGGGCCUCUGCCAGCGCCGCCUUUCCCGCCCGCCCCCGGCCUGGAGUACCUGGGCGGCCUCGCGGAUCCCGGAAACGGCGCGGGGGCGGAGCGCUCUCUGACGCCUGCGCUUGCGCUUGCGCUUGCGCGCGGGCCCCAUGUAUGCGCCUGCGCACACUUUCUCAGCGCCGGAACCUGAUGUCUGCGCCUGCGCGCGGGGCUGGGCCACCUGGGCUUCUGGCUACUUCCCCCCCAACCCCGCGCUGAGGCCGGGCCGGGGGUAACACUCUGCGGGUCUGAUCCAGCCAUGCCUGAUAGGAACCGGAAGAGGAACUUGGAGUCACCUGUGUCCAGUCUGAGCUCAAGCCAGUUAAGGCUGGUUGGGACCACCAACCCUAAAACUGGGCCUGCACAGGUGUCCAGUGAAUGACCUUUUGACAUCGGAGGGCCCAACCCCCCACCCUCAGAUCAUGUCCAUUUUUUAACAUGGUCCCAUGAAGAAGCAGCUUGUAGGAUCUAGUUCACCGAACAUGGAACCAGGCCCGGGCCGUCGGCAGUGAAAGUGUUGGAGUGCUCAUCACUGGGCUGCCAGGAAUUCCCCCAACCUGCUUCUUUGUCCCGUAAAUAUCCCACGCCCCUACUUCGGGGAAGCCAAUCUGAGAUCUGUCCUCCCGUCCCCUCACUUGGCUGCCUAUGAAUAAACCCUUUCUCUGCUG